UGUAGCCACCUCGUGACGACCUUGCGAACAGCAUCAGCCAUCUUUAUUGAUCGUGUUUUGUUAUUAUCUCAGUUCGCUAGAUUGUGGGUGAAAAUAACAAAAAAUGGCUGAUAAGUACGAUUCAAACGGUGAUUAUGGUACUUAUACUGAUAACUUUAAACGUAAGAGUAUAUCGGAAAAGUUGAAUGAAACCGGUGACGGCGAAAACGAUGAAUCUAAUCCUGCAGCACAAAAAGCCGGCGAGUAUGUCAGGGAGCUGCUUGCCGAAAAAUUAACAAUUGAUCAAAACAAACAGCCGAAUGCUUGCAGAUUGAUUGACCAAGAGAUAGCAAAGGUGCAGUCAAUUGGGAAGAUCCCCCCGAAAGACGUGAAAUACGUCGACAUCUACAGAGAAAAACCCAUCAAAGUAACUGUGAAAGUUUUAGUUCCAGUAAGGGAGCACCCGAAGUUCAACUUCGUCGGCAAACUGCUCGGUCCUAAAGGCAACUCGAUGAAGCGGCUGCAGGAGGAGACCAUGUGCAAGAUGGCGGUGCUGGGCAAGGGCUCGAUGAAGGACCGGCAGAAGGAGGAGGAGCUCCGCAACUCCCUCGACCCCAAGUAUGCCCACUUGAGCGACGACCUCCACGUGGAAAUAUCGGCGCUGGGGCCGCCGGCCGAGGCCCACGCGCGCAUUGCAUUCGCAUUGGCCGAAGUUCGGAAAUAUCUGAUUCCAGACAACAACGACAACAUCCGGCAAGAACAGAUGAGGGAAAUGGAAAUUAUGUCCUCUUCGGACAUUCCGAUCGAAGAACCGAGGAGUUCGCGACGAGCGCCGGGAAUAAUCCGGGCUGCCAUCCCCCGAACGCCAGUCCCCAUGCGGACCGCCACCAGGACCCCCGUCGUCACGCCGAGAGUGAUGCCGGCGAAGACAAAAAUUAUGUCGAUUCUGGACCGAGCCCGCAUUGCUAUGGAGGAGAGCUACGGCUUCGAAGACACCUACGAGCCGGCCGAAGUUUACGAGCCCUAUUCCAGCUCGGUCUCCCACUCGAGGUCCUACUCCACCCAUCACUACGAACCAGACUACGAACCCGAGUAUUACAGGGAGAGCUCCAGCUCGUACGAACCAUCGCAGCGGUGGAAGUCUUAUAAGACUGCAAGUUCGUCAACUUCUCGUCACAGUGACACUACUCGUUAUCGCACUUCUCCCUACACUCGCCCGAAUAAAUAAGCCUAGCGUUGAAUUUGCGUUUUCAGUGUAAUACUAAUAACUGUAAUUUAUCAACGUCAUUACUGUAAUUAUUUUGUCACCAAGAUUACAAAGAUCUGACUAUAUUUUAACGAACUCGUGGAGUUGGUUGCUGGCCAUCCAGCCGUUCGCUUUCUUCUCGUUUACGAAGUAUAAAAGAAGGAGUGUCAAUUCGUUCCCUUCAAAGCCGUACUAAAUAUGUAAUUUAAUAGCGAGACUUAAAUACCGCCCCUAAUUCUGAUAAAUUUUAUGUGGAACUUAAAUGAGAUUAAUGUAACAAAUGUAAAAUGAGCUAUUCUUUAAGAAAUCAAUGCGAGGAGUACGUAACGGCUUACAGAAUAGCUCGCUAAAUCUAAUGUAGAUGUGUAGAUUAUACCAGUUUAGAUGAAGUAAACUGUAUCGUGUUUUGAAUAAAUAUCGCAUAUGACAAAACAUCUCUCGUUAAUUCCCUUAUUAAUAUGAUUUUAAAUUUCUAGUGCACUUACAUCUCUCUAGCAGGUAUAUGACCCUCGGCUCCUCGUGGCAGUAGUUCUUAGUAAACAAUACACCUAAAGAAAUGUGAUAUUAACGGCUGUGAUAAUAAAUUCUCAAUAAAUAA